rnacentral:misc_RNA from 1 species
UUUUGUUCCUCUAGCCGAGAAAGUGAAAGAAAAGGAGAAAGAGAAAGAAACAGAAGAAGAAGAAGAAAAAGAAGAGGAAGAGGAAGAAGAAACAGAAGAAGAGGAAGAGAAAGAAACUGAAGAAGAAGAAGACAAAGAGGAAGAAAAGGAAGAAGAGGAAGAAGCUGAAGCAGAAAAAGAUGAUGAUGAUUCUGAUGAAAAUGGUAAUGGAGGCAGCAAAGAAGGGAGUGGGAAAGAGGUAGUGGGAAAGACAUGAGUGACUCAGAGUCUGAAGCAGAACCUGAGACACCUGCUCCUGCUGCUCCUGCAAAAGGAAAGGGCAAAACAGCUCAACAAGAACAAAGACG